rnacentral:rRNA from 1 species
UGUUUCGGCUAGGGGGCCAUCCCGGCUUACCAACCCGAUGCAAACUGCGAAUACCGGAGAAUGUUAUCACGGGAGACACACGGCGGGUGCUAACGUCCGUCGUGAAGAGGGAAACAACCCAGACCGCCAGCUAAGGUCCCAAAGUCAUGGUUAAGUGGGAAACGAUGUGGGAAGGCCCAGACAGCCAGGAUGUUGGCUUAGAAGCAGCCAUCAUUUAAAGAAAGCGUAAUAGCUCACUGGUCGAGUCGGCCUGCGCGGAAGAUGUAACGGGGCUAAACCAUGCACCGAAGCUGCGGCAGCGAACGUAUCACUUAAAGCGAUUCAGCGGGUUACGAUUGACGGAGCGAAGCGACGUCAAAGCGUAUACAAAGUCGAGUCGGUUUAAGGAUACGUUCGUUGGGUAGGGGAGCGUUCUGUAAGCCUGUGAAGGUGGCCUGUGAGGGUUGCUGGAGGUAUCAGAAGUGCGAAUGCUGACAUAAGUAACGAUAAAGCGGGUGAAAAGCCCGCUCGCCGGAAGACCAAGGGUUCCUGUCCAACGUUAAUCGGGGCAGGGUGAGUCGACCCCUAAGGCGAGGCCGAAAGGCGUAGUCGAUGGGAAACGGGUUAAUAUUCCCGUACUUGGUGUUACUGCGAAGGGGGGACGGAGAAGGCUAUGUUGGCCGGGCGACGGUUGUCCCGGUUUAAGCGUGUAGGUGUGUGUUCCAGGUAAAUCCGGUUCACUUUAACACUGAGGCGUGACGACGAGGCACUACGGUGCUGAAGCAACAAAUGCCCUGCUUCCAGGAAAAGCCUCUAAGCAUCAGGUAACAUCAAAUCGUACCCCAAACCGACACAGGUGGUCAGGUAGAGAAUACCAAGGCGCUUGAGAGAACUCGGGUGAAGGAACUAGGCAAAAUGGUGCCGUAACUUCGGGAGAAGGCACGCUGACACGUAGGUGAAGUGAUUUACUCAUGGAGCUGAAGUCAGUCGAAGAUACCAGCUGGCUGCAACUGUUUAUUAAAAACACAGCACUGUGCAAACACGAAAGUGGACGUAUACGGUGUGACGCCUGCCCGGUGCCGGAAGGUUAAUUGAUGGGGUCAGCGCAAGCGAAGCUCCUGAUCGAAGCCCCGGUAAACGGCGGCCGUAACUAUAACGGUCCUAAGGUAGCGAAAUUCCUUGUCGGGUAAGUUCCGACCUGCACGAAUGGCGUAAUGAUGGCCAGGCUGUCUCCACCCGAGACUCAGUGAAAUUGAACUCGCUGUGAAGAUGCAGUGUACCCGCGGCAAGACGGAAAGACCCCGUGAACCUUUACUAUAGCUUGACACUGAACAUUGAGCCUUGAUGUGUAGGAUAGGUGGGAGGCUUUGAAGUGUGGACGCCAGUCUGCAUGGAGCCGACCUUGAAAUACCACCCUUUAAUGUUUGAUGUUCUAACGUGGACCCGUAAUCCGGGUUGCGGACAGUGUCUGGUGGGUAGUUUGACUGGGGCGGUCUCCUCCUAAAGAGUAACGGAGGAGCACGAAGGUUGGCUAAUCCUGGUCGGACAUCAGGAGGUUAGUGCAAUGGCAUAAGCCAGCUUGACUGCGAGCGUGACGGCGCGAGCAGGUGCGAAAGCAGGUCAUAGUGAUCCGGUGGUUCUGAAUGGAAGGGCCAUCGCUCAACGGAUAAAAGGUACUCCGGGGAUAACAGGCUGAUACCGCCCAAGAGUUCAUAUCGACGGCGGUGUUUGGCACCUCGAUGUCGGCUCAUCACAUCCUGGGGCUGAAGUAGGUCCCAAGGGUAUGGCUGUUCGCCAUUUAAAGUGGUACGCGAGCUGGGUUUAGAACGUCGUGAGACAGUUCGGUCCCUAUCUGCCGUGGGCGCUGGAGAACUGAGGGGGGCUGCUCCUAGUACGAGAGGACCGGAGUGGACGCAUCACUGGUGUUCGGGUUGUCAUGCCAAUGGCACUGCCCGGUAGCUAAAUGCGGAAGAGAUAAGUGCUGAAAGCAUCUAAGCACGAAACUUGCCCCGAG